GAUGAAUGCUGGCGGCGUGCCUAACACAUGCAAGUCGAGCGGCAGCGCGAGUAGUUUACUACUUGGCGGCGAGCGGCGGACGGCUGAGUAACGCGUGGGAACGUGCCCCAAAGUGAGGAAUAACUGCCCGAAAGGGUGGCUAAUGCCGCAUAUGAUCUUCGGAUUAAAGGAUUUAUCCGCUUUGGGAGCGGCCCGCGUUAGAUUAGGUAGUUGGUAGGGUAAUGGCCUACCAAGCCGACGAUCUAUAGCUGGUCUGAGAGGAUGAUCAGCCAGACUGGAACUGAGACACGGUCCAGACUCCUACGGGAGGCAGCAGUGAGGAAUCUUCCACAAUGGGCGAAAGCCUGAUGGAGCAACGCCGCGUGAAGGAUGAAGGCCCUCGGGUUGUAAACUUCUUUUAUAAGUGAAGAAUAUGACGGUAACUUAUGAAUAAGCACCGGCUAACUACGUGCCAGCAGCCGCGGUAA
rnacentral:rRNA from 1 species